UAAAAACAAAUCAAGUGUUUCUACCUACAGU
rnacentral:piRNA from 1 species